AAAUAAGAAGCAAUAAUUUGCAUUUAGUUUCGACCUAAAAUUUAGAUUUUUAAAAUCCUUAUUUA
rnacentral:tRNA from 1 species